AGGUGAUGGAUUGACAGCAUAAAAGAGGAAAUUAAGUCAAUUCUAAGAAAACUAAAAGUGGGUCACUAAAGAAAAAGAGGAUUCUUGAAGAAUAUAAUCUGAUAUAUGUAAGGUCUGAGGCUGGGAAAAUAGGGACUUUCCCGAUCCCACUCACUGAGUUGGACAAUAGCGGUCCCCUGGACCUACCAGAACUACCAAUUCACAGCUGUGUUAACAUCCUGCUGGACAAUAACGGCCACCCAGGACUUCUCAGAAUGGCCAUGGUGUAGCUGUACAAACUUCCCGCUCAAAAAAUCAUCUGCCACAAGCGACCAUGAACAAACCUGAUUGGUCCAACAGCAGCAUAAAGAAACUCUGCCAGGCAUAGGCGGUGUGACUCCCCCAGCCUGUGCUCUCGGACCACAGGACCUCACCCGAAAGCUUUCAAUAAACGCGAUUUUUCACUCUUA